rnacentral:lncRNA from 1 species
GGAAGGGAGUGGCGCGGGUAGUAAUGGGGGGGGCCGGCCAGGGAGUGGCGCCAGGAAGAGAAGGAGGAGAGAGAGAAGGAAGGAGGGAGGAAGAAGAAGAAGAAAGAAGAAAGAAGAAGAAAGAAAAAGGAAGAAAAAAAAAAGGGGGAAGGAAAAGAGAAAGAAAAGGAGGAGACCGGCGGCACUCGCGGCACGCGGUCGGAGCACGCGCACGGCGUCCGACACCGGCACGCGGCGAGAUUCGCGGGCACAGAUAAAAAGAUAGGUGGGGGUCGGCAUGGGUACCGGGACGGCGAAAUCGCCGGGGAGGUUUCCGAUUUCCGGGAGCUCAGCGGUAAAAAGAUUUUAAAGACGGUUUUGAACGGGUGAUUUUAGUUAGUGAUUUUUGCGGGCGUUACAACUGCUCCCCGCGAAGGGACCGCGUGGGGCACAUCCCCGACCACACAAACGCACUCCCUCGGGAGCAGUGUGCCCGAGGGCUCGGAGCGACCAGCUCCCAAGGCAAAGCAAGCCGUUCGCAACAGACAACGAGAAUAGAAAAUUCUCAUUCCAUGAAACAAACGUUACAAGGAGGGUGCUUGAGGCGUCGUGUACAGAUACAAAAAACGUUGGCGUUGCCAAGCAAGGCAACACCUGAGGCCUAGAGGGCAUGCUGCUACAAGGGUGGCGUGAAGCGGUGGAUGCUCACGUCGCUGAGGUUCUUGUAGCAUCAACACCUUAGGGGCGCCUGUGCGGAG